CGACGCUACCACAUCACCUUCCUUGCACUGGCGCCAUACCUUCAUCACGCCAACAGCGAAUCCUGCACGCCUGCGUCAGUUACGUGUGACGGAACGCACCUUUCGGUCCUGCUUGCGAAAGCAGGUUGCAGUUAGUUACCGCCAUACAAUUUUGAGUCGUGCCCGCAGAUACCACACUGCGUGGGUGGCAGCGCCGCUAUGCUCCGUCUGCAGAUGGCCCCUUUGCCGCGCCGGCACAUUCUCUAGGCAAGCGCAGCCGUCGCCUUGCCGUGGCCGAGUCUCUGCCACAGUCACUGCACUCCCCGACGCGGGAUGCCGGUCGCCGUGUCUUAGCCUCGCUUUGAGGGUCCAGGCCACCACCUCUGCUGCCUACGCGCCAUCGUCAACAUCGACGCCGACGCUUCGUGCCGUGUUGACGACCUCGAUGACGCCACCGCCUUCAAGCCGCUCCGACUCAUCGGGGAAAGUGUUAAUGUUACAGUCUGUCAUAACCUGCGUGACCACUCUACGGCACCCGCCAACAAGCCUCGGGAAUAUCCGACCGAGGUACUCCAUCACUGCACUCAGCCAUCGUCAAGGCGGUAGCGCAGCCACUGCCCGACUGACGCAUCUCGGCUGUCCCUGGUGACUCAGUACACCGGGGGUCGCCUCGGUGUCAUUACGGCGCCGCACCAGCGCACUACAACGACGAGCCACAUUUCUCUGUUUUGUUAUUAGCUAAAAGCAGCCAUCUGAAUUAUAACUCAUUGUAACAAUUUUUAUGAAGUAAAAGAAAAUAAUUAUCAAACUCUGUACCCCUUACGCCUUUUCAGUAAUUUCAAAGAUUUUGCUAUUGGCAAGCAACACCCCUUAGACUAUAGCCCCUCUAAAUGUCGGUGCAACCUGUCCAAGGGAGCAUUUUUUUGAGUCAAUAUUCUCAAACAUUUUUCAUGAUGUCGAGUUAUUUAAAACCAGUAACCUGCUCCUGCGGAAGGCGGAGGGAAUGUGCAUUGUGGACUGCCAGACUGAUGGGAAAAGUUUAUUUGUAAUUAAAAUUAACUUUCGUUUUUUUCCAAUUUUCCUUCCGAUGCAACGGAACUGUGUCUCACUGUAAGGUUGUGGCUCGGCUGGGGCCAGUGCGACGCCGCAUGUUACUGGCUGUCGCUACCUACACACGCUCAAUGCACUUGAAUAACUCUCUCAUAGUGAGUACUGCUGAAGAGGUAACGCUUUGGCAAAGCGUAGCUGACUAGCUACGCCUGCAAAGUGCCUUCCAGCAGCCAAUCAGAGGGCUGUGAAGGUUCACGUGAGACGCUGGGCGGACUGGCGAGAAUGCACCGGCGUCACCGAGAUGUUCUCUUGUCAGUUAACCCUCGACCCAACAACGCUUGACUUCUUGCUACCCCUUAUUUGAGAGCCAUUGCCCCUCAAUCUGGUCGUCGGUAGCCUCCCACUAGCCGCAGCUUUACGUUUGUAUCCCAUUAGGCUAGAUUUAUCGGAAUAAACCU